CCAGCAGCCGCGGUAAUACGGAGGGUGCGAGCGUUAAUCGGAAUUACUGGGCGUAAAGCGCAUGCAGGCGGCCUGUUAAGUCAGAUGUGAAAGACCCGGGGCGUUAACCUCGGAAUUGCAUUUGAAACUAGGCAGGCUAGAGUCUUGUAGAGGGGGGGUAGGAAUUUCAGGUGUAGCGGUGAAAUAGCGUAGAGAUCUGAAGGAAUACCAGUGGCGAAGGCGGCCCCCCUGGACAAAGACUGACGCUCAGAUGCGAAAGCGUGGGGAGCAAACAGGAUUAGAUACCCCUGGUAG
rnacentral:rRNA from 1 species